AUUGAACGCUGGCGGCAGGCCUAACACAUGCAAGUCGAACGAGUGGCGGACGGGUGAGUAAUUUCUGGGAAACUGCCCGAUGGAGGGGGCUAACUACUGUAACCGGUAGCUACUACCGCAUACCAUCGGAUGUGCCCAGAUGGGAUUAGCUAGUAGGUGGGGUAACGGCUCACCUAGGCGACGAUCCCUAGCCGGUCUGAGAGGAUGACCAGCCACACUGGAACUGAGACACGGUCCAGACGCCUACGGGAGGCAGCAGUGGGGAAUAUUGCACAAUGGGCGCAAGCCUGAUGCAGUCAUGCCGCGUGUAUGAAGAAGGCUUUCGGGUUGUAAAGUACUUUCAGCGAGGAGGCGUUACUCGCAGAAGAAGCACCGGCUAACUCCGUGCCAGCAGCCGCGGUAAUUC
rnacentral:rRNA from 1 species